AUGAGUGUAUUUAAGCUCCCUGCUUCGGUUUGUGACGAGUUGACUCGUAUGAUCCGUCAUUAUUGGCGGGGAGUUGAAAACGGGAAGAAGAAGAUGGCCUGGAUGAGCUGCGCUAGAUUGAGGCUACCUAAACCUAUGGGUGGCAUGGGGUUUAAGGAUAUGAGGGCUUUUAACCAAGCUUUGUUGGCCAAACAAGCUUGGCGCUUGAUAGACACGCCGGACAGCCUCUGUGCAAGACUAAUGAAGGCCAGAUAA
rnacentral:rRNA from 1 species